UUUUUUUGGAGAGUUUGAUCCUGGCUCAGGACGAACGCUGGCGGCGUGCCUAAUACAUGCAAGUCGAGCGGACCGAAGGGAGCUUGCUCCUUUAGGUUAGCGGCGGACGGGUGAGUAACACGUGGGC
rnacentral:rRNA from 1 species